AGUGCCUGUCGCUGUGCUCUUCCGCUCCUCUCGACAUCCAGCUGCCUGUGUGCUCUUCUACCAGUGUGUUCCUCUCACUGUCCCGCAGCUCGUGUGUUCUUUCUCCGGUGCGCUCCUCUCAACGUACGUGCGCUCCUCUCAACGUACGUGCGCUCCUCUCAACGUACGUGCGCUCCUCUCAACGUACGUGCGCUCCUCUCAACGUACGUGCGCUCCUCUCAACGUACGUGCGCUCCUCUCAACGUACGUGCGCUCCUCUCAACGUACGUGCGCUCCUCUCAACGUACGUGCGCUCCUCUCAACGUACGUGCGCUCCUCUCAACGUACGUGCGCUCCUCUCAACGUACGUGCGCUCCUCUCAACGUGCGCUCCUCUUAACGUGCGUCUGCACAGCUGCUUGUGUGGCACAGCUGCUUGUGUGUUCUUCCGCCAAUGUGUGCAACUGCUUGUGUGUUCUUCCGCCAAUGUGUUCCUCUCGACGUCCAGCCACUUCUGUGCCUGCCUGCCUGUCUUGGGGUUUUUACAGGCACAGGAUAGGGGACGUGGCAGGCCAGGUGGUCUUGGAAAAUGCAAACUUGGGCAUGAAAACAGGAGCGCUUGUCCUCCCCUAUAUGCGUGUGCACAGGACCUGAGGUGAAGCCCUAGCCAGGGACCUGCCCUUCUCUACCCAGCGCUUUCCUUCUCUCAUCCCGAGUCAGUACUGCACAGAACGAGAACUUGGGACCUACAAAAUGGCACCACUGAAAGAUCCGUAACACAACCAGAGCUGAAAUGCCUCUUGCUCACCACAUUGUGAGUGACAAGAAAGAGAGAAGAGAGGAGAAAAGAGCUGUGGCCCAGAUCUAGGAGACACGUCUGUGACACCCUCUUUGGAGCGCUGUAGUUUCUGGCAUCUUCAAGCUUCCAGGUGUUCCACCGCAUUCCCUGGUGCCCUCUGUGGAAGCUGCUUGCAGUGCACCUGUUUCAGCUACAGGCUCAGAGGGCACCAGUGCCCUUGCUGGUGCCUGGAGCUGCCUGCC
rnacentral:lncRNA from 1 species